GCCGGGACGUCCCGGGAACAUUAGGAACAGUUGGUAACUAUGGUAACUAAAUGCAUUUAUUGGCGCAUGAUGCUGCUGGCCGCUUGUCACCACUGCAGUGAUGUCUCCUCCCGGCCUGAGGGGGCGCUGUGACCACUCCCGCCCGCUGCGGACACUCCCCGGAUGCUUCCACUCACCGUCGCCGCUCCGACCCCAGCCGGAGCACAGUCACACUGGCGAAGGGAAACUAGACGCUGUCGAGCACACUGAGCAACAGCACCGCACAGCCCUGUGACAUGGAGACCCGGCAGCGGGCGCAGCCCCAGGUGGAGGAGCUCAGCAGCGGCAGCCAAACCCCUAGCCUGGCAGAGCGGCGGAGGGAGGCACAGGGCUGCCUGCAGGCCAUAUCCCAGCACUCCUACUGGUUUGACAUCUGGAUCUUCCUGCUGUUCGACCUGGUGCUAUUAGUCUUCAUCUACCUGCUGCCCUGAGACACCCAAGAACAUUCCAAGGGAAGCAGUAGACGCUGACUCGCCCACAUCUCAUGCAGGACUUCAGCAUGUACAACUGUGGAUUGUGAAAAGACUACUUCUCCAGACCUCAUUUUCUUUAUUUAUUUUCCCUCUUGUAUAUUCUUAAUUACACAUAUAUUUUUGAAUAUAACUAAAUCAGUUGACCAAAACAAAUUGCUAACUACUUUUUUUCUUUUUUUUUAGAAUUAAAUAAUCUAUUUUCAAAUUCAAGAGUGUAUAUUUGCAGUAAAUGUAAUGUUUCCCACUACUUAAACUUCAAUACAGUUAUGAGUGAUUGUGUUGUUGGGGGUAAACUUCUGUAGUUCAUUUUAUAAACCUGCUCUACAGCAUAGGAAAAUAAAAGUAAAAUCUUGCCAAA